rnacentral:rRNA from 1 species
UUGAUUCUUAAUUGACUGAGCGGCGGACGGGUGAGUAACGCGUGAGGAACCUGCCUUGAAGAGGGGGACAACAGUUGGAAACGACUGCUAAUACCGCAUGACGCAUAGGGGUCGCAUGAUCUUUAUGCCAAAGAUUUAUUGCUGAAAGAUGAGCUCGCGUCUGAUUAGCUGGUUGGCGGGGUAACGGCCCACCAAGGCGACGAUCAGUAGCCGGACUGAGAGGUUGAACGGCCACAUUGGAACUGAGACACGGCCCAGACUCC